AGCCUGCCGAUGGGCGUCUUACCAGACACGGUUAGAUCUGGUCCUUCUGUCUAAUACUGUCUGGUAAUGCCGUCCAUCCCCGGC
ensembl:miRNA